AGCAGAACUGACAGAAGGUGCAAGGACUGAAGGACAGAUAUCUCCUGUAAGGACAUACUUGCCUUUGGAUUCACGAUUGAAUUGCAAAUCUCUAACAACUUAGGGGAGUUUAGUCCAGACUUGUUGAGCAUACCUCAUCUUGAUGGCAAAUGAGAGACUGGUUCAGCCCCAGAUUGUCAGACUGCUACUUUGGUCUUCUUGAAUGACAGGGAAGUAUGUUUGCCUGCAAAGCACAUUCAGCUCUAAUUCAGAUAAAGCUGAUGGAGUUGUGGAAGCUACCUGUAUUCUGCUGU